UACGGAAUGUGCAAACGUUAUUCGGAAUCACUGGGCUUAAAGAGUCCGUAGGCGGCAUGUUAGGUGAGGUGUGAAAGCCCGGGGCUCACCUCCGGAAGUGCGCUUGAAACUGGUCGGCUAGAGUACGGGAGAGGGGAAGCGGAAUUCCUGGUGUAGCGGUGAAAUGCGUAGAUAUCAGGAGGAACACCGGCGGCGAAGGCGGCUUCCUGGACCGAUACUGACGUGAGACGCGAAAGCGUGGGGGAGCAAACAGG
rnacentral:rRNA from 1 species